rnacentral:rRNA from 1 species
UCCAGACUCCUACGGGAGGCAGCAGUAGGGAAUCUUUCACAAUGGGCGAAAGCCUGAUGGAGCAACGCCGCGUGCAGGAUGAAGGCCUUCGGGUUGUAAACUGCUUUUAUAAGCGAGAAAUAUGAUGGUAACUUAUGAAUAAGGAUCGGCUAACUACGUGCCAGCAGCCGCGGUAAUACGUAGGGGGCGAGCGUUAUCCGGAUUUACUGGGUGUAAAGGGAGCGUAGACGGUUCUGCAAGUCUGAAGUGAAAGCCCGUGGCUUAACCGCGGAACGGCUUUGGAAACUGUGGAACUGGAGUGCUGGAGAGGCAAGCGGAAUUCCUAGUGUAGCGGUGAAAUGCGUAGAUAUUAGGAGGAACACCAGUGGCGAAGGCGGCUUGCUGGACAGUAACUGACGUUGAGGCUCGAAAGCGUGGGGAGCAAACAGGAUUAGAUACCCUA